rnacentral:rRNA from 1 species
AGUGAACGCUGGCGGCGUGCCUAAUACAUGCAAGUCGAACGGAGUGGCGCACGGGUGAGUCAUAUAUAGCUAAUCUGCCCCUUGCGGGAGGGCAACGGAUCGAAAUGACUGCUAAUACUCCAUAGCAAGGGAUGAGACUAUAUCGUAUCAGCUGGUCGGUGGGGGAACGGCCUACCGAGGCUAUGACGCGUAACUGGUCUGGGAGGAUGAUCAGCCACAUUGGAACGGAGACACGGGCCAAAAUUCUACGGGAGGGAGCAGUAGGGAAUAUUGCGCAAUGGGGGAGAGCCUGACGCAGCAACGCCGCGUGGAGGAUGACACGUUUCGGAGCGUAAACUCCUUUUGUUAGGGAAGCGGUACCUAACGAAUAAGCACCGGCUAACUCCGUGCCAGCAGCCGCGGUAAUAC